rnacentral:rRNA from 1 species
UACGGAGGGUGCAAGCGUUAAUCGGAAUUACUGGGCGUAAAGCGUGCGCAGGCGGUUUUGUAAGCCAGAUGUGAAAUCCCCGGGCUUAACCUGGGAAUGGCAUUUGGGACUGCAAGGCUCGAGUGCGGCAGAGGAGACUGGAAUUCCUGGUGUAGCAGUGAAAUGCGUAGAUAUCAGGAAGAACACCGAUGGCGAAGGCAGGUCUCUGGGCUGACACUGACGCUCAUGCACGAAAGCGUGGGGAGCAAACAGG